AAUAGAUACCCCGGUAGUCCACCCCGUAAACGUUGGGAACUAGUUGUGGGGACCAUUCCACGGUUUCCGUGACGCAGCUAACGCAUUAAGUUCCCCGCCUGGGGAGUACGGCCGCAAGGCUAAAACUCAAAGGAAUUGACGGGGACCCGCACAAGCGGCGGAGCAUGCGGAUUAAUUCGAUGCAACGCGAAGAACCUUACCAAGGCUUGACAUAUACGAGAACGGGCCAGAAAUGGUCAACUCUUUGGACACUCGUAAACAGGUGGUGCAUGGUUGUCGUCAGCUCGUGUCGUGAGAUGUUGGGUUAAGUCCCGCAACGAGCGCAACCCUCGUUCUAUGUUGCCAGCACGUAAUGGUGGGAACUCAUGGGAUACUGCCGGGGUCAACUCGGAGGAAGGUGGGGAUGACGUCAAAUCAUCAUGCCCCUUAUGUCUUGGGCUUCACGCAUGCUACAAUGGCCGGUACAAAGGGCUGCAAUACCGUAAGGUGGAGCGAAUCCCAAAAAGCCGGUCCCAGUUCGGAUUGAGGUCUGCAACUCGACCUCAUG
rnacentral:rRNA from 1 species